UAUUUGAUUUUCCAUAACGAAAGAUUCUCUCUGGAAAUGAAGGCAGAGCCAAAAUCCCAGCAUCGUCAUCCUUUCUGAGCUAUGAAUCUUUCAUAUUCUGAUCCGUAAUAUCUGUUGAUCAGCUUUGAGUUAUAUAGCUUAUAUACGUUUUCUGGUUUCCUGAUUUUAGUUGUUUUUCUGUGUGUAUUACAAAGGCGAGGAGGUGGAGGGAAAUAUCAGGCGAUGGGAUCGUGACACUCUUGACUAAAUGGAUGGCCUUACCUUUAUCUGUUUCAGAAUACACAUAUAUGGAAAAGCUUUUUUUCCCUCUUCUUUUACACAGCCUUGUUCGUGCUCUGACUUAUCAACCCCUAUUCCUUCUCUUCCUUCCUUAAUAACAGCACCUCUCUCUCUCUCUGAUAUACUCGUGGGUUCUCUGUUACUUCUUGAUCAGCGAAUUCAGUGCUCGGAUAUGGGAUUGAGGAUUGGUCCAAAUCCAAUUGGGUGGCUGCCUUUUCAGUUUACAUCCCCUUUUCUACUUUGUUAUGCCCCAAACUCAGCCGAAAAAGAAAACAUUUACCCUUCCAUGUUGAAAACAUGUGGGGGAAGCAAUACAUUCCUGGCUUACCGAUUGUCUUACCAACCCGCUCGUUCCCAGUCACGUUAUUGUAGAGAAAAUGGCGUAAGGCAAGCUUGUGGGGCGAAUUUUGAUGAACUCUCCGAUGAAGAAACGAUGAAACAGAUGCUAAAUCUUAUAGAUUAUGACGAUGAAAUUGACAAGAAAACUGCUUGCACAGUAUCGGAAACCUCGGGAAAAACUAGGCACAUAGAAGGUGAAGAUAACGUCAAGUUAUGGCACGUUGCAGCUUUGAAGCUUAAUUCUUUGGAGCCUUCUUUGCUGGGUAUCCAGCCUGAGCCACCACAGUGGCCCGAGAGAGAUGAGGCUCUUCGCAUUAGCAUUCAAAGGAGAGUGAACAGAAUGGAAAUCCCCAUAUCGCUUCGCAUAAUCAAGAGGAAGCAGCAAUGGGAGGAGAGUUUGAAAGAAGCGGGGGACUCCACUUACUGUUCUAUGAUGAGGGCCUUCUCAUCAAUGGUAUUUAUAAUCAGAGAGCUUCAGAGCUGCGCGUUACAAAUGAGGGGAAGUCUCUAUUCUGAAGAUUUGCGUGGGAUUGUUGAGAAGGUACAGAAAGAACUGAAUGCGUCAUUUGUUUGGGUCUUCCAACAAGUUCUUUCGCGGACUCCGACUCUUAUGGUUUACGUGAUGAUUCUUUUGGCUAAUUUCACGGCAUGUUCUAUGGCCGAUAACUUAGGGUCUUCCAUGAGCUUAAGUCCUUGAUCUCAUGGAACUAUCACAGAGACUGAGAACAAGGAUCGACCUCAGUUUAAGCUCGGUCCUAUGGAAAUUAGGCCAGGUACUGCUGCUGCUGGUCGCAGCGUCAGAUUAAACCCUGUUGUUGAUGACACUGAGGGUGGGGACAAGGACUUAAGAAGAUCGUAUCUGUAUAUGAAUGUUGUUCCUGUUGAGAUAUCUGAGAUUUCAUUGCUUAGAAAUAGGGAGUUGAUCACAGAGGAGGAGGUAAAUUUGUGGAAUUCAGUGGUGGAAGAAGCUUCUAGAAUGCAGGCAGAGAUGAGCGGGGAGGCUCUUGAUCAUAAAACGAAGCAACAUUUAGUGUCUCCGAUGACUGUGGAGCUGGAACCAGAUGAUUAUGAGGAUUACUUUAGGACAGAUCUCUUUUACCAGUUGGGGUUAUCCCGGGAGCCAAAUAAUACUCUUCUGCUGUCAAACUAUGCACAAUUCCUCCACCUCGUCUCUCAUGACAAUGACAGGGCAGAAGAGUGCUUUAAUCGCGUAUUGCUGGUAGAUCCUAUGGAUGCUGAAGGACUGUGUCGAUAUGCAGACUUUUCUGUGGAUGGCAAGAAGGGACCUGUGGGGAGCAGAAGAUAAGUACGAGCAAGCAAUGGCAGCUGAGCCAGGCAACCCUUAUUAUGCAUCCAAGUAUUCUAAUUUCCUUUGGAGCACUGGUGGUGAAGAUACUUACUUCCCACUCAAUACAUUUUACGAUGGCUACAACAAAAUUUUGUGAUCGAGUAGAGGCAGUGUCAAUGGCAGAACGCCAUUAGAAUCUCAUUAUGCUAUCCAUAUAUUUUAGUUUAUUAUUCCUUAAUUUCUCAGUGCUGCCACGAAGUUUGGAAUAUACAAUGCGUAUGUGAGGCAUGUAUAUACCCAAAGGCUGUGGAGCAGAGAGAUAUUCUCAAGCCUUUUUGUUUCCAUGAAUUCGGACCCUUUGAUGACAGAAAUAACUUGCAGCGAAUCCAAUUUCAAAGUA